rnacentral:misc_RNA from 1 species
GGACGGUAGCGCGCGCCGCUCAAACUUGUUGCGAGACCAAUUUUCCGAAAAUCCCAAAUUCUCUGCGGUGCAUUGGCCAGUUCACCCAAAAACACCCACACACACCAUCACUGUCUCACUUUCGUUUCGCGAUUGAUUGCCAGCUCUCCGGAGACCAAGAACCAAAAUAAUAGAAAAAGGCACCCGAUACCAAACCGCAAACCGAUCGAGUUACAAAAAAAAACACAAAAAUAAAGAAACUAAACAAAAGUAAAUCGCCUAGCAAAGAGCCUUCAAGACGGCAGCCACAAUUUCCAGCGCAGGAUUAGGAGGAGACGUCGCCGCGUACGCUGAUCUCCACCAGCACUCGCAUUCGCACCAUCCGAAUCCGCAUCCACAUCCGCAUCCACAUCCCCAUCCGUUUGCCACCGACGGCUUCAAGCUGCGUUCCGAAGAGCCGGUGCCGGGCUUCAGCUCGGCCUCCCCCUGGCCCACCCUGGAGCUGGGCAUGGAGUGGGGCCGGAAGCUGUACCCCAGUGCCGUUUCCGGUCCGCGAUCCGCCAGCGGCCUGAUGUUCGGCCUGCCGCCCACCGCCGCUGUGGACAUGAACCAGCCGCGUGGACCGAUGACCUCGCUGAAGGAGGAGCCGCUGGGCAGCCGGUGGGCCAUGCAGCCAGUCGUCGACCAGAGCAAUUUGGGCAUCGGCCGCGCCCACUUUGAGAAGCAGCCGCCCAGCAAUUUGCGCAAGUCGAACUUCUUCCACUUCGUGAUCGCCUUAUAUGAUCGGGCUGGACAGCCCAUCGAGAUUGAGCGCACGGCCUUCAUUGGAUUCAUCGAGAAGGACUCGGAGUCGGACGCCACCAAGACGAACAAUGGCAUCCAGUACCGACUGCAGUUGCUCUACGCAAAUGGAGCUCGCCAGGAGCAGGACAUUUUCGUGCGACUCAUCGAUUCGGUGACCAAGCAGGCCAUCAUAUACGAGGGUCAGGACAAGAAUCCCGAGAUGUGCCGCGUGCUCCUAACGCACGAGGUGAUGUGCAGCCGCUGCUGUGAUAAGAAGAGCUGUGGUAACCGCAACGAGACGCCAUCGGACCCCGUCAUUAUUGAUCGCUUCUUCCUGAAGUUCUUCUUGAAGUGCAAUCAAAACUGCCUGAAGAACGCCGGCAACCCGCGGGAUAUGCGCCGAUUUCAGGUGGUAAUUUCUACGCAGGUGGCCGUGGAUGGACCACUACUGGCCAUCUCCGACAACAUGUUCGUGCACAACAACUCGAAGCACGGACGGAGGGCCAAGCGGCUGGACACCACGGAAGGUCUUUACCCACCGCUGCCAGUGGCCACGCCGUGCAUUAAGGCGAUCUCGCCCAGCGAAGGCUGGACAACCGGUGGCGCCACCGUGAUCAUAGUGGGCGACAACUUCUUCGAUGGCCUCCAGGUUGUGUUCGGUACCAUGCUGGUCUGGAGCGAGCUGAUCACCUCGCAUGCCAUCCGGGUGCAGACACCGCCCAGGCACAUUCCCGGCGUGGUGGAGGUGACGCUGUCCUACAAGAGCAAACAGUUCUGCAAGGGAUCACCCGGUCGCUUCGUCUAUGUCUCUCUCAACGAACCCACAAUCGACUACGGUUUCCAGCGCCUGCAGAAGCUCAUUCCCCGGCAUCCCGGCGAUCCCGAGAAGCUCCAAAAGGAGAUAAUCCUCAAGAGGGCCGCCGAUCUGGUCGAGGCACUAUACUCCAUGCCCAGAUCUCCGGGCGGUUCGACGGGCUUCAAUUCCUAUGCGGGCCAACUGGCGGUCAGUGUCCAGGAUGGUACCGGCCAGUGGACCGAGGACGACUACCAGCGUGCCCAGUCGAGCAGCGUGAGUCCACGCGGUGGCUACUGCAGCAGCGCCUCCACGCCGCACAGCUCGGGAGGAUCCUACGGUGCCACGGCGGCCAGUGCAGCGGUGGCGGCCACGGCGAAUGGAUAUGCACCUACACCCAACAUGGGCACACUCUCCUCGUCGCCCGGCAGCGUCUUCAACUCCACGUCAAUGUCCGCCGUGUCGUCGACGUGGCACCAGGCGUUCGUGCAGCACCACCACGCGGCAACGGCCCACCCGCACCACCACUACCCACAUCCCCACCAGCCGUGGCACAAUCCGGCCGUGUCAGCAGCCACGGCGGCGGCCGUUUAAGCGUUUCCCGGACUCCCCAUGCCAGCCAGAUGGAGCUGAACGCAGGAUGAAGAUGUGGAGGAGGAUGAGGAUGAUGUACCAGGUUGAGCCGGACUUUUGGGGCCGAGUAACGACAUUUUGUUGAAAUUAAAUGCCACACGCCCAACACCACCCACAACCACCCACAAACCACCCACAAGUCCGAGCGAAAAGCGCACACACACGGCCAGACACCAUCUAUCAAUCCGAAACUGCAAGGACGCCCACAAUUGGCCCUCGGGUGUGUGAAUGGGUGUGUGGAUGGGGCCGCUGAAGCAAAACUGAGCAUUCAAAACACUACUCCACCAUCAACAAAACACCACAGACAACACACGAUUAACGGGGUCAGCAGUCUGAGCUUCAAUCCCUUCGCCCUGCCCACCUGCAACACACAGGGCUACAGCACCCAACUGGUGACGUCAACCAAAUAAU